rnacentral:rRNA from 1 species
UACGUAGGGUGCAAGCGUUAAUCGGAAUUACUGGGCGUAAAGCGUGCGCAGGCGGUGAUGUAAGACAGCUGUGAAAUCCCCGGGCUCAACCUGGGAACUGCAUCUGUGACUGCAUCGCUGGAGUACGGUAGAGGGGGAUGGAAUUCCGCGUGUAGCAGUGAAAUGCGUAGAUAUGCGGAGGAACACCGAUGGCGAAGGCAAUCCCCUGGACCUGUACUGACGCUCAUGCACGAAAGCGUGGGGAGCAAACAGG